rnacentral:rRNA from 1 species
AGCCCAACAGCUAGCUCACACCCCAAAAUGCAACAACACAUUAUUAAUAAACCCCAAAAACCUAAAACAUUCAAAACAAACCAUUUUACCCCCUCAGUACGGGCGACGGAAAAGGACACAUUUGAAGCAACAGCGAUAGUACCGCAAGGGAACGCUGAAAGAGAAAUGAAAUAAAUCAGUACAAGCACAAGAAAGCAGAGCUUAAACCUCGUACCUUUUGCAUCAUGAUUUAGCAAGAAAAAAUCAGGCAAAGAGCAUUUUAGUCUGAUUCCCCGAAACCAAGUGAGCUACUCCAAGACAGCCUAAAUUUUAGGGCGAACCCGUCUCUGUGGCAAAAGAGUGGGGAGAGCUUUGAGUAGAGGUGACAGACCUACCGAACUUGGUUAUAGCUGGUUGCCCGGGAAUCGAAUAGGAGUUCAGCCUCUUGCCCUCUCCCGUCAAAGCCGUGCAGGCUUCAAGCAUCCGAGAGGACAAAAGAGUAAAUCAAAGGGGGUACAGCCCCUUUGAAAUAGGUACAACUUUCCCAGAAGGGUUAAAAUCAUAGAACACCAGGGAAUCUGUCUUAGUUGGCCUAAAAGCAGCCACCCACACAGAAAGCGUUAAAGCUCAGACACUACCCCACCCCCAUUAUUCUGAUCAAACUAUUUUACCCCCCUAACAUAUACCGGGCCUUUCCAUAUCUCAUGGAAGAGAUUAUGCUAAUAUGAGUAAUAAGAGACCCAGCCUCUCUCCCCGCACAAGUAUAAAUCGGAACGAACCAACACCGAAAAUUAACGACCUCAGAAAAGAGGGUACUGGGACAUUAUGGCACAGCCACUAGAAAAACACCCACACACCCAACCGUUAACCUUACACCAGAGUGCUUACAGGGAAAGACUAAAAGGAAGAGAAGGAACUCGGCA